AAUGUUUUUGCUCAUUAAUUCAGCAUGUAACUCACAUUCCAAUGGAAGCAGAAGAGGUUGAGCCCACAAUCAAACUGUCACUGAAUUCUAAACCAAAACUGAAGUAUGGACUUCUUCUCAUUAGGGUCACGUUGCCAGGACUAUACAAUGAAAUGCCUGGCCGUGAGAGUCCAGCAAUUUUCUUUGCUCUCAGAGUUCCUGUUUGGAAAAGAAAUCUGAGAACUUCAUGGUGAUGAGGAAGCCUGCAGCCCCCGAAGGUCACGGAUGCUGUUGGAGCCACGAGGAAGAGCCAUCAGCCCAGGGAGACCCUGAGGGUCAGGGCAUCUCCAUGGAUGAACUCCGUGUACUGCUGGACUCAUCCAACCCUUCGUGGACAUCACUUUGUAGUGAAAAUCCCUUUUGUUGUUGAAGAAAGCCUGAGUUGGGUGAUUUAUUACUCAUAAAGUAUGUUAAUACCUUGAUGCUAAUAUUCUCAUGAGAGAAUUAUACUCUAGUCUUAUGAUAGCACUAAAAGUAACUUAAAGGCCCCACGCUUCUCCAGAUAAAACCAACACUUGUGAAACCCUUGCUUUGCCGUUUACUAUCUAUGUUCCUGGACAAACUAUUAAAUGUGCCGAGUCUACACCUCCACCUCAGUUUAGGAUCAAUAAUCUAUAUCUUUUCUUUUUCAGUUUCAAUACAUAAAAAUAAGUGCCAUGAGUAGUUCUUGUAACUGAAUAGGCACUUAAAAGUGAAAUUAGGCUCUUCAUUUCUCCUGCUUUCUUAUCGUACAUCUUUAUGAUACUUUAAUUUGAGCUACAACCCCUGAGAUCUUCUUGAGAGUUAAUCACUGCUGAGAGACAAUACAGAGACAGGACAAUAGACAGAUCGCAUGUGACGACAGAGCUCUGACCCACAACCUCUGCAGCAAUUGCUCCCCAACAAUGGGGACUUAGUGAAUAACUGCUACCUGCCCUAUUUAUGCCCCCAACUCAGGAACAGCAGGUCAAUCCAAUAUGCUUCUCUAAUACCCACAUAGUUCUCAUUCUUUUAUUUUUAAUGUUUAUUUUGAUCUACAAUUAAAAUAACAGCUAACAAUCAUAGGUAUGCAUCCUUCAAUGCUUCCAACUUAUAAUCAUUCUUGUAUUAAGAAUUUUACUCUUUCAUUUUCCUGUGGUUGUUUUUUUCCCCUCAGGUUCUGCAAACACAUUUGUUGCCUAAAAUUGCACCUCUGAGAAAUUCCAGCACACUGGCAUAGUGUUCUGGACUCUCGCUGUGGUAUUACUGCCAGCACUAUGCUUCCUUAUUAAAAAAUGUAGAGGCUCACUUGCAGCAAGCUUGAUAGCAGGAUGAUAAAAUGGCAGGGUAUUUUUAAACACAGAUUUUAUGAGAUGUAUUACAUGGAAUUAAAUUUAGACCAUAUAUCAAGGAAAUCACCAUAGAGCUUUGAGCGUGAUUCAGAUCAUCCUGGCAUUAGUUGGACCACUCUGUUGGCUCAACAAUGUCAUUGCCUGAGUGGGAAAUAAAUGGCCAAGUCUAUGGGGGCACUAUCGGGUUGGCUUGCUGGUCACAGCAUCCUCCCCCCACAAGAUGUCUCAUCUGGAAGGGUAUGUAGGGCAGCAAUUGGUGGAAAUACACAGCAGAAGAAGAUUGUGACUCUUUCUCCAACACACCCCCUCCUCCUCAGUACACAACCUCUGCUCCCAAUGAUGGUACAAACAUCAGGGAUUUGACAGUACACACUCAAGAAACUGUUUUUUGGUGGUGUGUUUGUUUUUCUUUUUUCUUUUUUAGUUUGUUUUUGGUAGGAUCUAUCUAAAUGUAAGGUUAUUUUGAUGGUUAAUAUUGAAUGUCAACUUGAUUGAAGGAUGCAAAGUAUUGUUCCUGGAUGUGUCUGUGAGGGUGUUACUGAAGGAGAUUAACAUUUGAGUCGGUGAACUGGGAGAGGCAGACCCACCCUCAGUCUGGGUGGGCACCAUCUAAUCAGCUGCUAGGGCUGCUACAAUAAAAGCAGGCAGAAGAACAUGAAGGACUAGACCAGUUGAUUCUUCUGGCCUCCAUCUUUCUCCCAUGCUGGUUGCUUCCUGCCCUUGAGUAUUAAACUCCAAGUUCUUCACCUUUGGGACUCUUGGACAUUUGACCACACACUGAAGGCUGCACCGUCGGCUUCCCAACUUUUGAGGUUUUGGGACUUGGACCGGCUUUCUUGCUUCUUUGCUUGCAGACAGCCUAUUGUAAGACUUCACCUUGUGAUCGUGUGAGUCAGAACUCCUUAAUGAACUCUUCCUCAUGUAUACAGCUAUCCUAUUAGUUCUGUGCCUCCAGAGAACCCUGACUAAUACAGUUACACUCCCGGUCCGCAUUUGGGAUUCUGUAUGUAAACCUCAGAAUAAAUUCAACAAAAUUUGUCG
rnacentral:lncRNA from 10 species